rnacentral:misc_RNA from 1 species
AAGUCGUAACAAGGUUUCCGUAGGUGAACCUGCGGAAGGAUCAUUCAUGUGAUUUUUCAAACACCCAACUUCUUUGUUAACUAUUAGUUAAAACAAAGGUGCUUUAGUUUCUGUGUUUUUCUUUUGUUGGCUGCGUUUUCUUUCAUCUUCACUCUAUUUUCAAAUGCACUAAAAAAACAUCAAGAAAAUAGGAAAAGAAAUGAUAAAUGCUACCUUUUUUAUACUUUUUAUAAAUUUACCACAAAACAUUUUACCAUAAAAACACCAAAAAUUUAUUACAACUUUUAACGAUGGAUCCCUCGGCUCUCA